rnacentral:misc_RNA from 1 species
UACGGAGGGUGCAAGCGUUAAUCGGAAUUACUGGGCGUAAAGUGCGUGUAGGCGGUGAGGUCAGUUGGAUGUGAAAGCCCCGGGCUCAACCUGGGAAUUGCAUUCAAUAUUGCCUGGCUAGAGUAUGAGAGAGGAAGGUGGAAUUCCACGUGUAGCGGUGAAAUGCGUAGAUAUGUGGAGGAAUACCAGUGGCGAAGGCGGUCUUCUGGCUUAAUACUGACGCUGAGGUGCGAAGGUGUGGGGAGCAAACAGG